AUCAGUCAGCACACGACAACAGCGCUUCGAGCCCUGGCCCCUAGCUCGCAUUGCGAGUUCCAGCGAGCCAACCAAACCAUUAGACCAACCACCGCUCCGUCAGUCCCUCUCCUUCCUUCCUAGUUCAUUCCCUCACCUCAUCUAACCAAGCUCCCGAGAGCAGAGAGCUGAGAGAGGGAGAGAAAAAGUAAUCCGACGGAAACGACAAGGGCGCGGCGAGGGCGGGGACGGGAAGGCCCUGGGCGCGGAGGCGCCGAGCACAUGGCAUCGUCGAGGGUGAUACCGUCGUCCUCGCCGUCGCACACGGCCUCGGAUCUCGCGCGCCUAGCGCAGGCCGCCAGCAGGCCCGGCGGCGGGGGCAGCGGGCCGGGCUCCAUGAACGUCGAGGAGCUCCUCCGCGGCAUCUACAGCGACAUGCCCACCCCGGCGCCGCCCGCGUCGGAACCCGGACGCCCGAUGCCCCCGGCCCCGGCGCCGGUGAGCGCCACGCGGAAGACGGCGGAGGAGGUGUGGAAGGAGAUCACUGGCGGAGGUGGCAGUGGGGAAGCCGUGGCUCCCGUGGCGGCUCAGGCUGUCGCUCCCGAUGGUGGCGCUGGCACAGGCGGCCCGGAGGUGACGCUGGAGGACUUCCUGGCCAGGGAGAGCGCGGUGAAGGAGGAUGAGGUUAAGAUUUCUGUCCCCCCCGCGCCGGUCAUGGGGUUACCGGGCGGAGCGGAGGGCGUGAGUGUGCCUGGCGGCGGAGGCGGGAGGGAACGGAAGCGGCAGCUUGUGAGUACAGUGGAUCGCGCUCGCUCUGCUAUCCAGCGAGAGAAACGAAUGAUAAAAAACCGCGAGUCUGCUGCCAGGUCACGGGAGAGGAAGCAGGCCUAUAUCGCCGAGCUAGAAUACAUGGUAACGCGGCUCGCGGAGGAGAAAGCUGAGUUGUUGAGACAACAGAGACCAGUGCAUCAUGAAUGUUCUCAUCUAUAGGCAAACAUAUUACCUUUUGAUGUUCAUGUAUUUCAGGAAGAGCAGUUCCAGACGCGGCUUGAAGAGCUCGUGGACCGAGCGACGCCAGCCAUUCUGAGGAAAAAAACAUCACGAGAUCUUAGAAGAACGAACUCAAUGCAGUGGUAGAUUUGAGCCAAGCUCGGCCGCCGUCUCCUUACUGUUAUAACAUAGAAUUUGCGCCCUGUAUGUCAUUUUUCUAUUUAUAUGCGCCAACUUAGUUGUAGUACCUUAACUGAAAUUGCAUGGGCAAUUAGCCGACACAAAGCUUAAAUGAAAUCAUGUUGUGUAGGUCAUGACCAAGAAAGGUUGUUGUUCCUGUCUGGUCGUGUUGCAUUCUGCCUGGUUUAUUUUCUAGAUUUCUUGUCAACAUGGCAGGUAGAUUCAGCAA